GAAGUUAACAUCAGUGACUGGGCCUUAUCUGGACACCUUGUUACAGGGUCCUUGGGUCAGCUCUUACAGCCAGGUCCCCUCCUGGACUCUGGCCGGGAAUCUAAGGUGAUAAGGGAACAAAGGAGCAGGCAGGCUGCACGAAGUCAAUUAAGUCACGCGUUUAUGACGUGUGAGCCUUGGUUUAGAUAACAGAUAACAGCGUCUUCCCUCUUUACAUCCUGUACUGGUUAACAGACAAACACGAACAUCUGAAGAAGCAGGACGGGAGUUAGGCUUUGGGGCCUGGGGACCUGAACUCAGUUUUGAUGUUUCCUGCAAGGCGGAACUUGUUCCUGAGAUGACUGAACUCAGGAAGCCACCUCUGACCCGGAGAGACGCUGGUAGUGCUUCUUCACAGAGUGAAACAAGAUGGGAGACGCGUGAGGCACUGUAAGCCUACAGUCGCCUUUUCCGAAACCACCUUAGCAAUUUAGUACUCUUCCUUCUCCUUCUCACUGGUGAGAAUCAUGUGGAAAUGUUACAGGCCCGGUCCCUAUGCCUUCCCCAGCCAAAUGAGACUCGCAUAAUGACGUCUAAGAGAAGACUGAUAUAAGAAGGCGUUAAUGCCCAAGCUGUCUUAAGGUGACACGAUAUGCACCUUCCUGUUUUCCUCACCUUCUACACUGCUCCGGAUACCUCAGACACCUAGCUUUGCCCGCUCUGGUUCCCUUCUGCUGCAUCUCCAGGGUAACAAGGGCAGAAGAAAUGUACAUUUACAUGGAUGCUCCCAUUCCCUGAACAAAUAAUGCUUUAUAUACCCAUAAGCUCUUUCAUUCAUGCACUUGACUACUUUUGAUGCAACAUAAAGUUAGGAACCAGGAACAUGCCAGUGCUUUCUUGUCCUUGGAAAGUCUUCCUACUUCAAGAGGAAACCCUAAGACAAUGCCAACUGGAUAUAGUACGUGGACCAAGUACGUGUGGGUGUCCCUGCAGGCAGGUGGGUAGGAAGACAUCGUCUUCUCUGUGAUUCCUGCUGAGGUAGGACGGUGCUGAGUUUUUUUGUUUUUUGUUUUUUGGGUUUUUUUUGGUUCUUUUUUUCGGAGCUGGGGACCGAACCCAGGGCCUUGCGCUUCCUAGGUAAGCGCUCUACCACUGAGCUAAAUCCCCAGCCCCCCUGAAACUUUUUUGAAAUCUGAAGCAUCAGGCUACCUUUUCCAGCUCUGUAGCAGAUGUUAGUGUUGCUAGGUAACAGUAGAUGUCUGAUGCUGCCUGAAAGAAAUACUUCCAUGCAAAGCUGGGCAGGAUUCAGUAGGACGCUCUAACCACUUCCUUUCCUACCAGCGUCUCUCCGGUUAGGUGAUGGCUUCCUGAGUUCAGCCAUCUCAGGAUCAAGUUCUGCCUUGCAGGCAGCAUCAAAACUGAGUUCAGGUCCCCAGGCCCCAAACUCCCAUCCUGCUUCUUCAGAUGUUCGUGUUUGUCUGUUAACCAGUACAGGAUGUAAAGAGGGAAGACGCUGUUAUCCGUUAUCUAAACCAAGGCUCACACGUCAUAAACGCGCCGCCUGUCGUGACUUAAUUGACUUCGUGCAGCCUGCCUGCUCCUUUGUUCCCUUAUCACCCUAGAUUCUGGGCCAGAGUCCAGGAGGGGACCUGGCUGUAAAAACUGACCGAAGGACCCUGUAACAAGGUGUACCAGAUAAGGCCCAGUCACUGAUGUUAACUUCCUUGUUUAGCCUCUUGUGUCAAAAUAUGACUCAGUGCAGCAGCCCACCCCAUGCCCUUGCUUUGGGUUCCCAUCUGUGAUGAGUGUGCUUGGUCCAUGGGAAGUGGCAGCAUUGGGAAGUGUGGCCUUGUUGGAGUAGGUGUGGCCUUGUUGGAGUAGGAGUGGCCUAGUGAGGGUAGGUGUGGCCUUGUUGGAGUGGGUGUGGCCUUGUUGGAGUGGGUGUGGCCUUGUUGGAGUGGGUGUGGCCUUGUUGGAGUGGGUGUGGCCUUGUUGGAGUGGGUGUGGCCUUGUUGGAGUGGGUGUGGCCUUGUUGAAGGAAGUGCAUCAUUGUGGGGACAGCUUUGAAGUUUCUCCCAGAGGAUCCCACAAAUGAGUAUUUCCAUAUGGUGUGAGGUGCCAGCCUUUUGUUUUCCAAAUUCAUCCCUGAAACUGGGCUGAAGAGCAGAGAGAAGCCAAGGGCAGGAGGGCUGAGCCUGAGCUCUGCGGGAAGGUACAAGGAGCUGGAAUCCCAUCAGUCAGCCUGCACCUGCUCCAGCACAUGGUUUGCGUGGUUUGCAUUUUCACGAAGGGGAAGCCUUGCGCUCUGUGCUGGGGGAAAUCUCAUUAUGCCUCCAUGUGCAGAGCCUCGUGCACAGAAGAGGACUGUGAGCUGCUUUCAGGGAAGGCGAACGUCUCCAUAUUGUUCGCUCCAUCUGUGCCUAGCUCCUCAUUUUGGAGGCUCUGAGGGAGGCUUGAUAUAAGAUCUAAAAUCCUGAGCACCACCCUAGUGCUAUUCGUUGUGGGGACAAUGAAGCAAACACAGAUUUCUCAGUAUUUAAAAUUAAUAAAGAAUCAUUGGGAGCCUCGAGCUAGUGAAUGCUGUCAAAGGGAGUGCUUUUUGCUGUGUUCCCUCCACCCAUGCUACCCAAUAACGCAGCCUGCUGAAACUAUGCUUCAGUGAAUGUUCUUAUGUGUAGAAAACAAAAUGAUGUCUGGGAUGAAAAUAGAUAGUUUAGUUAUUGACUCUGAAUUUGCGAAGUAGUCUCAAGCGCUAACUGGGUUCUGGGAUUCAGCCAUUGUUACUGAGGCUUGGGAAAUGCUUUAUCCUCUGAUUUUCUGGCUGAUGUGGGAAAAAGAUGGAAGGACCAAUAGGAAAGGGGGAAGAGAUGGAGAGACAGAUGGAAAAUGAGAAAGACAUUGUUGUUGGCACCAAGCAUAGACCUGGGAGGAAGGCGACCUGAAAUAAGCCACUGAUCACUUUACAGCAUGGGCUGGGCUCAUUCUAGACUUUUAGUUUAUUUCUUGUGCUUUAAGAGCUCUGUCUUUAAAUGGGGCAGAAGAAAUGUAUAGUUACAUGGACGGUCUCAUGCUCUGAGCUAAUAAUAGUUUAAUAUGCCCAUAAGCUCUUACAGGGGACUUGGUUCAUUCAACAAACACUAGUGGCCAGGAAUACUAAAUGGUUAUUAAGAUGCACGCUGAGGAUAAUUUCAGAAGAAAAAAAAAACACAUAGCACUUCUGAUCAUCUAGGACUCCCAAGUUCAUUAGAGUAUUCAAAUACAGCCUGGUCACCUGGUGGGAUUUUUGUAGGGGAAAUGUAAAUGCAAAUUAGUUAUCUAGUAAUGGUCAGGGGGACCCGAAUGUCAGUGUAACUUGGGGUCCGAUUUCAGCUACAUUGCUCAACAUCUCGAAAGCCUUGGACCAUUUCUUCUGCUUACUUGGUAGUGAAAUGAGGGAAGUGUGUGCAUAUGUGCAUGAGUGCGUGCAUUCGUGCAUGUGUGUGUAUGUGUGUGUGUGCAUGUGUGUGCAUGUGUGUCUGUGUUCGUGCGUGUGUAUGUUUGUGUGUGUGUUUGUGUGUUUGUGUGUGUCUGCAUGUGUGUCUGUGUUCGUGUGUGUAUGUUUGUGUGUGUGUUUGUGUCUGUGUGUUUGUGUGUGUGUGCAUGUGUGUGCAUGUGUCUGUGUUUGUGUGUCUGUGUGUUUGUGUGUGUGCAUGUGUGUCUGUGUUCGUGUGUCUGUGUGUUUGUGUGUGUGAAUGUGUGUCUGUGUUCGUGUGUCUGUGCGUUUGUGUGUGUUUGUGUAUGUGUGUUUGUGUGUGUGCAUUGUGUGCAUGUGUGUGCAUUGUGUGCAUGUGUGUGUGCAUGUGUGUGUGCAUUGUGUGCAUGUGUGUGUGCAUGUGUGUCUGUUCAUGUGUGUGUUUGUGUGUGUGUUUGUGUAUGUGUUUGUGUGUGUGCAUGUGUGUGUUUGUGUAUGUGCAUGUGUGUGUGUUUGUAUGUGUGUGUUUGUAUGUGUGUGUUUGUAUGUGUGUGUUUGUGUGUGUGUGUGUGUGUGUGUGUGUGGUAUAUGUCAGGGUCUUUCUGAAAUCUCUCUCCACAUUUAUUGUUUGAGACAGGAUCUCCCAUUGAGGCUCAUUGAUGCAGCUAGGAUGGCAGGAACUGAGCUUCAGGUCCCUUACUCCACACUGGUGGCACUGGGGUUACAGGGGUUUGCUGCCAUGCCAGGACUCUUAAUGCACAUUCAGAUACAUUAUUAACUGGGCCAUCUCUGCAGUCCCCAACUUCUCUUAUUCUUCCAGCACCAUCUUCCUCCUCCUCCUCUUCCUCCUCACUAUGGAACCCUGGCUGGCCUCGAACUUGCUGUGUAGAACAGGCUGGCCUCAAACUCAUAGAGAUGCACCUGCUUUCAGCAGCUUAGUGCUGGGAUUAAAGGUGAACACUAACACAUCUGGCAACAUUUACCUCUGUAAGCCACAGUUUCUUUAUCUGCAAGACUGGUAUGAAUAACGUUGAGGUUGCCAGAUUUUUCUGUGAGCCAAUAAGAUAGUCCAUAUAAACUGUUUCCCAGUGACUCAAAAUAAGUAUUCAAUAGCUAAUUCUUAUAGUCAUCUUGAAAACAACUUCAAUUCUAAAAUUUGACUUUAGCCCACUUUUUCUUUCCAUCCAAAGUUUAAAGAAAAGUGUUCCACGGAAGAAAGAGACAAGAGCCUGAAGCCGUAUUUGGAACCGUCCUCUUCAUCUGUAUCCCUCGCCUUCCCAGUCGUCUUCACAGAGCAAGUCGAUGCUGAGACAAAUCAAACCUGAGCUGCUCCCUUCAGACUUCUUCCUGUUCACAGAGGUGUCAGCUCACAUCCUGGGCUCUUAAAAUACAUCUGAAUGCUGGUGCAGAGAAGAACUUCAGCAGGGCUCUUGGCAACUCAGAGGCAACAGCAAUGUACUCCUGGUUUAGAUUAGUUGGUGAGGCAGCCCUUGUCCUGAAAUAAACAUUAUCGACCACCCUCAUUGCUAAUUCAUCAUCCUCCUCUGCCCAGCUGGACCUGGCUUGAAGGGUGACAAGCAAAGCUUCAGGUGGAGAUGGUGGGCUAUUUGGUUUGUGUGAUCAACAGAGGUCUCCAACCUCAGCGGAAUGUGACAGCCACUGAUGACUUCGAAGACAGGUUGGGGUCACUCAGAGAAGAUUGUCCCAGCCUUACUUGGUAGCAACGUUGGAAGCAAGACCAUACAAUGGGAGAACUGGGCUGUAGCUAAUCAAUGGAAUCGACCCAGCUAAAGAAAUAACACGUCCAGCACAAUAAAUGUGGUCAACACAGGAUAGAGCAGUGUCCACAGGGACGAGGGAAUCAUGAGCGCCGGGCUCUGUUCAUCAACAGCGACCGAGCUGUGCAAUCGGAGAGCACUGAUCCCUCCAGGUGUUGCACUUUGGUGGGGGACGAAGCGUCGCCUUCAUUUAACAUUGCAGUCAGGCAGCCAGCCAGCUGCCUCUGCUUGCUCUCAUUCCAGCUCACCCGGCUGUCUUCUGAUGAUAAUUUGACUUCCCACCUAAAUCUCACCACAGGGAGAGAGUGUGCUCCAGGCAGAAGGUGUGUCUGAUCUCGGGGGCUGACUUUGCUUGUCGAUAUAAAUUAAUAAAAAUGGCAUUUUGAUUUACA